CCUACGGGAGGCAGCAGUGAGGAAUAUUGGUCAAUGGGCGGGAGCCUGAACCAGCCAAGCCGCGUGAGGGAAGAAGGUACAGCGUAUCGUAAACCUCUUUUGUCAGGGAACAAAGGCGGGGACUAGUCCCCGGAUGAGGGUACCUGAAGAAAAAGCAUCGGCUAACUCCGUGCCAGCAGCCGCGGUAAUACGGAGGAUGCGAGCGUUAUCCGGAUUUAUUGGGUUAAAAGGGUGCGCAGGCGGCCUGUUAAGUCAGCGGUAAAAGCCCGGGGCUCAACCCCGGCGAGCCGUUGAAACUGGCGGGCUGGAGUUGGAGAGAAGUACGCGGAAUGCGCGGUGUAGCGGUGAAAUGCUUAGAUAUCGCGCAGAACCCCGAUUGCGAAGGCAGCGUACCGGCUCCACACUGACGCUGAGGCACGAAAGCGUGGGUAGCGAACAGGAUUAGAUACCCCAGUAGUC
rnacentral:rRNA from 1 species